CGAUAAAAUUAACAGAUAAAAAAAAAAUAUGAGGCCAAAGGUAGUGGUGCUUAUGAUAAUACAAAGUAUAUAAAGACCGAAAAUAAUACAUUUUUAUAACAAUUUCAAGUAAUAGAUUGUUUGACUUUGGAAGCUUACUGAUAAUAAUUAAAUCAACAUGAUGAAAUUAUUCCUAUUGGUUUUAAUUGUUGCACUGACCAUCAAUUCAAUCGCCGCUACUUUAUGGGCUUGUAGAAAAAAUGAUCAAUCGUGCAAUGAAGUAUUCGGCUUCAAAUGCUGUGCAGGCCUGAAAUGCACAUCAAGUAUUUUCCCAGGAGUAUGUUAUUAAUCGAAAUAUAAUUCUAUUCGAAUUAUUAUAUAAAAUGUAUUUAUAAAUUCAAAUUAUUAAUGAUUCGUUCAAAUAAAAAAAACCAUUAAAAA